rnacentral:rRNA from 1 species
AUGAAGCCAUCUUGUGGUUGGGGGGAAAAGCGUGCACGCACGGUGUCCAAUGGAUGGAGGGACUGGGCGAGUCUUUCCAACGGGCCGGCCUGGGUGAUCGCCGAUUGUGUCCUUGACCAUGACGUGGCCGACUACGUCCGCUUUCGUGCAGUGUGCCAUGCAUGGCGGUGGUGCUCUACCGAUCCGUAUGACGGCGUAGCAAGUGUGGCGGCGGAGCUAGGGGAGGACCGGCACAGAGGAGGGAGAAAAGAGGAGAGGAACAGGUCGAAUCGGCUAGGUCGAGGAGGGCAUGGAACUGUGUUUGACAUGGAAUAUGGGAGUGCCACCCUGGAGGACAUUGCGGAAUAUGACACGGUGAUCAGUCAAAUUUUUGGCAGCGAGGAAGAAGGUUACAAUUACUAUAAUGCAUAUGCUCGGUCAAAGGGUUUUGGUGUUAGAAAGGAAGAACUGACUAGGAAGUCGGACACGAACAUAGCUUCUCGGCGCCUCUAUGUCUGCUCUAAAGAAGGAUAUCGGGCGAGGAAGCACUUUGAGAAAACUAAACGGGUGCGAACUCCUAGGCCGUUGUCACGUUGUGGAUGUGGCGCUCGGAUGGAGAUCGAGCUUCGUAUGGAUAAUGGUGAAUGGUUUGUAAAAGAUUUUUUGGACGAACAUAACCAUCCACUCGCUAAGCCUGAGCAGACAACUUACAUAAGGUCACAUCGUGGGCUGAGUGACGUGCAAAAGGCUGAUGUCAUUGAGUAUGGAAUUGGUGGCCUUCGAACACAUCAAAUAAUGGAAGUAAUGGAGAAGGAUAGUGGUGGUUUCAGCAAGGUAGGCUUUAUACCUCGGGACCUGUAUAAUUUUGUUGCCAAGUACAAGAAGGAAAGGAUAGAAGGCCGUGAUGCUGAAUUUGUGCUCCCUGAUCCACUUGAGAGAAGUGCUGCUCUCAUUUAUACUCCAGUGAUGUUCAAGAAGGUAAAACAUCAAAUCAUGCAGUUGUCAAAAUGGGAAGUAGCAGAAGUGACCAAGAAUGAUGCUUUUGUUCUGUAUACAGUUGCUCGCAAAGAGAGUAGGCAUGUGACGUAUGAUGUGAGGUUUGUCAUGGCAGGCCCGUUGCUUCAGAGUGUGAAUUGCCGUUGUCUGAAGAUGGAAUCAGAGGAGAUCCCGUGCGCUCACAUUUUUUCUGUUCUAAAAUACCUUGGCUUAGUCAGCAUUCCUAGGUGUUGUGUCUCAACAAGAUGGACGAUGGUAGGCAAGUCCGCAUUUGACUCAGAGAGGAAUGGUAAUAUGCAUGAAUGGUCUGAGCGGAUGGAUCGUUACCAUGAACUCCGCAACAUUUGUAGUCUGUAUUUAUUCAAAGCUUCAAACAGCCAGGAGACGUCACAGAAGGUGGUGGAUUUUCUCAAGGGUAUUAUAGCUGAAGGCGGCGAAGAUGAUGGGAAAAAUGAGGCGGCAUCACUGGGCCCUCUUCCAGCAUAUUUUUCAAGGUCAAGCCAAGCAUGUCCAGGAAAUGUCCGGAAUCCAAAAAAAAUUAAACCGAAAGUGGUGCUGCCGCUCAUGUACUCGUCUACUCAUGCUAUUGAUGCAUCUCCUGAAACCAUUAUUUUGUUGCAUUGUGUGGCAGAAGAUUUAUUGUGUUGGUGUUUCCUGAAUGAUUUAUCUUAUCGCAUGAAGGUCAUUUCAUUGGGAUUAGGAAGUGCAUACUGA